UGUGAGAGCUGGCUUGCCUGCGAUAGCAGUCUGUCCGUGAAAAAUAGGGGGGCUGACACACUGCUAUCGCAGGCAAGCCAGCUCCCACA
rnacentral:misc_RNA from 1 species